ensembl:lncRNA
UACUUAUGAAGAAAUAUAAAAGUGCUGCCCAUCUUACUAAGGAAAACUGUGGAUUUUAACUGUUAUUUACAGGUCCAAAAUCAUGUGUAUUGUGAUGCACAGCAUGGAUUUGAUCUUCCAAAGUCACAGGCUGUAAGCACCGUUGCUGUUCGCAUAUUGAAUACUCAUUAUGAUCGUGUGUCUCCACUUUGGCUACAGUGUCAGUGUGUGCCAAAAUUGGAAGUCUCAGAUAGCAGAGUUAACUUGGCAUUCAAAAGACAGUGUAGAAGAACCAGAAGAGGAAAGAAAGCCAGAUAAGAGCCCAACAUGCCCACUGAAGAAGAAAUGUGUUUUGAUGAGAGAAAGCGUGCUAUCUCCUUCAAAGAAAAGAGCAAUAGCAUAGCUGAUAUAAAUGAAUCAGAGGAGGAAACUGAGAAGAAAUCAGAAAUCUUAGAUACACCAUCACAAGUUCAGGAUCUAUUGAUGCAAGAGACGACAAAUGAAAAAGAAGAGGCAAUAACCGAUAAAAACGUCAUUGAUUUGCAACAGUUUGUACCGGUGGGUGGUAUGUGCCAUAUUGAUGCUCUGCAGCUUCCACCUCAAGUCAAACAAAUCAAGGGCUGGCGGAGGCUCCCCUGUAGCAGAAGUUAGGACCUAUCAACAGAUGGCACUGGUUGCACCUGCUUUUGCCUGGAACAAGUGGAAUCUAAAAGCAGGUCAAGAAAUAUUAGUGUUCAAGUUUUGUGGAUUUAGACUAAAAUUCUGAAGAAAAACCAGCAUAGAACAGUUAAACAGAUAUAAACAAUUAACUUGGAGUUACACUCUUCUCAAAUAUUGUCUUUAACCCCUGCUCUUCAUGGAGCAGUUUUAAGAUUUGGGGUUGACUACUUAGCAGCAUUCAGUGUGUGUCAGUAAAACAGCUCACGCGUUUGUGACAUCUCAAGUGGGACACGUAUCUCAGUAACAAAGACACUUGCUAACGUGCUAGGAUGUAUAACUGAUAGGUCAGCUGUUGAGGCUUUAGCUAAAGUUGAGCUGAUGUAGCUGGAUGCUGAUUUUCAUGAAGUAUUCUCUGUAGGGGUCCUCUGAAUAGCAAUCUGAUCUGCAAGUGUUAUAAUUAACAUCUGGAAAUUUCUUCUUGUCCAUAUGAGGUUUUAUUUGUUCCCUAGUCUAAAGGAAGGAAUAAGCAACUUGUGUUUUAGCUCACAGGUAGAAACAAACCAAUGUUCAUGUGGUUAAAACUUCUCCCAGACAGAAAAAUAGUCCCAGCUUGAUUGUAGAUACAGAACACACAAAUACAGUUGAAAUCUUGGGCAGCUCUCCCCCUCUUCCAAGUUAAAUGCAUGUAAUGUACAAAUAUUUCACCUAACACUUAAUUGCAGGAGCAAUUGCUUGUUGCACCUAGCUGCUCUCUCUAGAAGAGUCAAGAUCAGCAGCUGGAGGGGCCAAAUGUUGCAUUUUACAGAGGCAAACUGGAUGGAAGAUUUUUUUUGUGUUGAUACAGUACCUGGUAGUCUCUUGGGCACAUAGUGCUAAUAUUGUUUUAGGGGUUCAAAGUAGCAGCUUGGUUUUGUUUCUUUAUUAUACUUAUGAGUAUACUAGAAUUUAGAAUUUCAUACUAGAAUUUAUACUGUCAGUGUCACAGGCUUCAUUUCACAGAGCGUUUUUUUCUGCAAUAGGUAAGUGAGCAUCUUAGAUUCUGUCAAAGACUGGUCUCUCUGUAUGUUUAAUGGUCAGAAAGCACAAAAACUCAGGAUCAUCAAAACCAGUGAAGCUUUUUCAGAAGAGCUAGGUGACAAUUCUGAAUUUCACUUCACACUCUACCAUAUGCUUAAGGACUUUAUCAAUUGCUUCUUCGCUGGCAAAGUGGAAAGAGCUAGUUUCCUGUUUAUUGAUGUUGUAUAUCAGCUACUCCUUGCUACAAGAGUUGUAACACUUAAAUACUGCAUGCUUUUCUUCGAAACUUUAUUAUCAAAAGCUUUCAAUAAAGUUACAUUUCAAGUCUUGAAUCCUUUUCUA